rnacentral:rRNA from 1 species
AUUGAACGCUGGCGGCGUGCCUAACACAUGCAAGUCGAGCGGUAACAGGUGUAGCAAUACAUGCUGACGAGCGGCGAACGGGUGAGUAAUGCUUCGGAAUCUGCCCAUGUAGUGGGGAAUAACCAGCCGAAAGGUUGGCUAAUACCGCAUACGACCUACGGGUGAAAGCAGGGGAUCGCAAGACCUUGCGCUAUUGGAUGAGCCGAAGUCGGAUUAGCAGUUGGUAGGGUAACGGCCUACCAAGGCGACGAUCCGUAGCUGGUCUGAGAGGACGACCAGCCACACUGGGACUGAGACACGGCCCAGACUCCUACGGGAGGCAGCAGUGGGAAUAUUGGACAAUGGGGCAACCCUGAUCCAGCGACGCCGCGUG